GUCUUUUUUCCCCCACACUACAUUGCCUUCCAGGACAAUAUAGCAGGAGAGGUGGAUAACAAGAAAAUACAAUGCAAUGUGAUGAGUGCUAUAACCAAGAUAAGUCUUACUGGAAUUAACUCUCCCUGAAGGAGCUUUGGAAGUCUCAAGAAAGAGGUGACAUUUGAGUUAGGUUUUAUUAAUGAUUAGGGACUCACCAGGUGAAGCCCAGAAAAGGCAUGCUUGGAAGCCUGUGAAAUGGACUUGAGAUUGUACAGAGUAUGACAAGGAGUUAGGGUAGGCUGGAAUACAGAAUUGGUAGGGUUGUUCAAUUUCCAGAGAUAAAGGUGAACAGUGCAUUUUGAGUCUAGAUUGAGUAAUGCUGUAUACGUCAAACAAAGGAGUUUAUAUUUAAUUUUACAGGCAAUGGGGAGUCACUGGAAUGCUUGAACAACGUUACUUUAAGAUGAUUUUGACAAUGCGUGGAGACUAGAUCAAAGGAAAGAGAUGAUGGCCACCUUCUCUCUGAGUCCUCUCACGGCACAGAGAAAGAAAGAGAAUGCUCUCGGAAGUCUCUCUUCUUGUGAAGACACUAAUGCGGUCAUGAGGAUCCCACCUUCGUGACCUUAUUUAACCCUAAUUCCCUCCCAAAGGCCUCAUCUCCAACUACCAUUGUAUUGAGGGUUAGAGCUCCAACAUAUGAAUUUUGGUGGGACACAAACAUUUAGUCCAUAAAGUUCUUAAUAUAUUUAAUCCACAAAGUGGCAAAAACUAUCUUUGUCAUCAAAAAAGUUCUGUUUUGAACAGAUAAGAAUCAUUGUAGCAUUUUCGAUUCUUUAAAAUGCUUCCAGUUGAAGAUUUUAAAAAGGAGAAAAAACUAUUUUUAAAGAACUGCAUGAUUACUAUGAGUCCAAAAACCCAGCCACUGAAGGCAAUCAGUGGGUGUACCCUGAGGAAAAGACCUCAACGUCUGCCUUGUCCUGUCCUCCCACAGCUUGGUGUUCUGCACUUCCUUGGAUCUGUGAGUCUCUCCUGUGUUUUCUACUAAAUCUUCCCUUUUUUUUAAGUUAGCUAGAAGCAGUUUUUGUUGUUUGCAACCAAAAGAGUCUUAACAGACACAGAGUUUCUUGUUCAACUCCAUUAAGGCUAUUAAACCGAAGUUGUGUGAUAUUAUUAACAUUCCAUUGUGAUCUCAACUUCUUCGUCUGUAAAAUGCUAAGUGAUUUCCAAGAUGCCUUCCAAUUCUGACAACCUAUGAUUUUUUGAGAGCUCAGAAUGAGCCAAUGUAUAUAUUUGUUUAAAGUCACUCCACUGAUCAAUAUUGAUGAAGCUCAGUGCCAAUCCCAAAAUCCCACCAGAAACACAGAGCAGUGAGGCAGUCCAGACACUUCCAAUUAUUUGUAAACUGAAAUGUCUGGGUUUCCUUGAGGCUGCCUCUGCCUCUUGAUUCAUGUAAUAAAGACACAAAUCUAACUCCAAGGACCUUGAAGGCCAAUAUAGAACUAUAGUAGGUUUUUGAAGGAACUUAAAGAGAAGUUAUUCCCAUAGGACUCAUGGCAAAAUUUCUUGAAAGUCUUUUUUGGACAUAUCCCUUUUCCCCAAAAUUUGAUAAGAUAAAGCAGCUAUUCCACCUCUCACUCUCCAUGCAGUGUCUUCAUUGCCAAAUACUCUCCAAUUUUCUUCCCUUCUCUGUGUGAUGCACCCCCCUUGCCCAUGCACCCAAGCCAUUUCCUCCAAAUCCUUACAUGUGAUUAGGAUUUUCCCCAGCAUGCCCUAAGUCCAUUGGUCAUCUACUUGCUGCUCUGAUUUUAGUGCAAAAUGCAGCUUCCUAGAAUUGUGGCAAAUAGAUUGCAUAGUCGUUCAACAAAUAUUUACUGAGCUCUUACCAUAUCCCUAUAACUGGGAGGAAGAGGGUGCCACUGGGAAAAUGCAAGAUGCAUAUCCCAUUCCAAUUCCAGCCUCAUUCCAUAUUUUAUUUCUAAAGCUUAAUGAGUAGAAAUACAUACACACAUACAUAUACACAUACACUACUCCAGUUGGCAGUUAAAAUGUCCUCAUUUAACGUAAGCUGCACAUGACCCCAGUGGGAUGCUGGUGUCACAGCCUCAGCACAAAUGCGACAGCUGUGUCAUGCUAGACCAAAGAGGGAAAGGGCCACCACCAUUUGCGUGUUGCUGGUGCUAUCUGGAGUGCCUUCCUUGGCUGCCUGGAGGGAGAUGCUGCUGUAACUUUUUCUAAACAGAGCUCUGGGGCACUGCUGAUAGGUGACUUCAGCCUCCUGGCUUAUGCAGUGCAACUGACCCAUGUUUUGUUGGAAGAAUAACUACAGAAAUGGCCUUAUGGGGCAGCAAAGACACUUCUUCAGGAGGACUCAAGUUAAAUUAUUUAAUGAAAUCUCUUGCACUUAGGAAGGAACAGAGCUCACAUAAUUGAACCUCAAGUCUGAACACUUACAUUAUUCUCCUCCGAGAGGCAAAUUGAGUUAUUCUAAAUGAAACUGAUAGACUUUUUGUAAAGUGACCUCUAGUUUUCUAUCCUUGGCAGCCAUACUAAUAAGCCACCAUCAUCUCAUGCCUCUUAACUAGCACCUACACAGCCAUGCGUUCUCCCCUCUUCUCCAUUCUCCACAUUUUAAGACAAAAUUAAAAUUGAUCAUAUCAUCUUUAUGCUUAUAACCCUUGAACAACUGCCCUUAUACAUGUAGGAUAUAGACAAGAACUUGUCACGUGACCCACCAGUGCCUGCAUAGUCUGCCUAGUCAUCUCCCAGCCUCACUCAGGCCCCACUGUUGCCUGUAGAGCUACUCCAGCCUUGUCUCUGUUCCGUCAGUGCCCCAGCUUCCUCUUCCCAGGGCUUUUGGAUGUGUUAUUUCCUCUGCUGAGAACAUACCAUCAUCUGUCCUUUAACUAGUUAACUCAUAUUCUUCCUUCAAUCUCAAUUUGAAUCUCAGUUCCUAUGGGAAGAAUUCUUAUUGCAUAUUCUUAUACCAACCCUGAUCAUAAAUAAAAUGUUCCAUUU
rnacentral:lncRNA from 1 species